GAGCUGUGAAGAGGUUUGCGCUCACUGUGAUGGAUUGGGUCUAUCACCAACAUCUGUUCACUCGGAUGAAAAGGAACGCAUCUGAGCUC